rnacentral:rRNA from 1 species
CCUACGGGAGGCAGCAGUGAGGAAUAUUGGUCAAUGGGGGCAACCCUGACCCAGCCAUGCCGCGUGAGUGAAGAAGGUCUUCGGAUUGUAAAGCUCUUUCGAACUUGACGUUGAUGACGGUAGCGUCUAAAGAUGGUCUGUCAAACUUCGUGCCAGCAGCCGCGGUAAUACGGAGGGUGCGAGCGUUGUUCGGAAUUACUGGGCGUAAAGGGAGUGUAGGCGGUUAUGUAAGAUAGCGGUGAAAUGCUGGGGCUCAACCCCGGAACUGCCAUUAUGACUAUGUAUCUAGAGUAAUGGAGAGGAUAGCGGAAUACCCAGUGUAGAGGUGAAAUUCGUAGAUAUUGGGUAGAACACCGGUGGCGAAGGCGGCUAUCUGGCCAUUUACUGACGCUGAGGCUCGAAAGCAUGGGGAUCAAACAGGAUUAGAUACCCUUGUAGUC